rnacentral:tRNA from 1 species
AAAAAUGAAGUCAAAGUGAGUCGACGUUUCUUUUACAAAGAAAAAUUGCAAAAGCCAUUUUUA